GCCAGUGUGGCACAAUGGUUAGAGUGCUGGGCUAUGAAUUCUGAGAGCGAGGUUCGAAUCCCCCACUCAGGCA